rnacentral:rRNA from 1 species
GAUGAACGCUGGCGGCGUGCCUAAUACAUGCAAGUCGAGCGAACAGACGAGGAGCUUGCUCCUCUGACGUUAGCGGCGGACGGGUGAGUAACACGUGGAUAACCUACCUAUAAGACUGGGAUAACUUCGGGAAACCGGAGCUAAUACCGGAUAAUAUAUUGAACCGCAUGGUUCAAUAGUGAAAGACGGUUUUGCUGUCACUUAUAGAUGGAUCCGCGCCGCAUUAGCUAGUUGGUAAGGUAACGGCUUACCAAGGCAACGAUGCGUAGCCGACCUGAGAGGGUGAUCGGCCACCCUGGAAGUGAGACACGGCCCAGACUCCUACGGGAGGCAGCAGCAGGGAAUCUUCCGCAAUGGGCGAAAGUUUGACGGAGCCACGCCGAGUGAGUGAGGAAGGUCUUCGGAUCGUAAAACUCUGUUAUUAGGGAAGAACAAAUGUGUAAGUACCUAUGCACGUCUUGACGGUACCUAAUCAGAAAGCCACGGCUAACUACGUG